UACGUAGGGUGCGAGCGUUAAUCGGAAUUACUGGGCGUAAAGCGUGCGCAGGCGGUUUUGUAAGCCAGAUGUGAAAUCCCCGGGCUUAACCUGGGAAUGGCAUUUGGGACUGCAAGGCUCGAGUGCGGCAGAGGAGACUGGAAUUCCUGGUGUAGCAGUGAAAUGCGUAGAUAUCUGGAGGAACACCGGUGGCGAAGGCGGCGUCCUGGACCAACACUGACACUGAGGAGCGAAAGCCAGGGGAGCAAACGGG
rnacentral:rRNA from 1 species